AACAAAAAAUAUUAACAAGUGAAAUAUGUUUUUCCAACAAUUGUUAAAGAAAUGAUUGAGUCGUUUCAAGCUUCAUUGUUUACAUUGGAAACAAAGACAGGUUGAAGAGGUCGUCAUGAGAUAAAUAUACUGUCGAUUCAGUAGUAUUUGUCAGAUACCAAUUUUUGUGAGUUUCGUAUGUACAGGCAAACCAUGAAUUCAAAUGUUCAACGAAUAACAUAUUUUCAAUUGGCUUUUUAUACAGAGAUUGGCAAAACCACUAAUUUAAAUAUCCAUGAAAAUGCAAGUUUUCAGCAAUCCACGAAAAUUGAUACCCACGAAAGUAAAUGAAUCAACAGUGGUUCAGACAACUGCUAUUUAGAUAUUCAUGAGGAAAUAUUGAUAUCAGGUCAUGACUGUAUAUGACAUGGAAAUAUACAGUCAUAGCAUUUUGACUGCUCAAAUAGAUUGAGAGCAGUAUAAUUUUAUAGAAAUGGCCAUAAAAUUCUUAAGCAGGAAUUUGAAAUGUCAACAUAUACACAUUUAUCAUUCAUAAUUCUAAGUAAGGAACAAUAUAAAUAUACAUUUACAGUAAAAGAUUAUCUUUAUGAUAUAAUUUGUUGUUCACUAACAAGUG
rnacentral:lncRNA from 1 species